rnacentral:rRNA from 1 species
AACGAACGCUGGCGGCGCGUCUUAAGCAUGCAAGUCGAACGGCAAGAGAGGAGCUUGCUUCUCUCCUAGAGUGGCGGUCUGGUGAGGAACACGUGGGUAAUCUACCCUUAAGAUUGUGAUAUCUGCUAGAAAUAUCAGUUAAUACCGAAUACACUCUGCUUAUCACUAUAGGUGUUGAGGAAAGGAAGCUACUGCUUCGCUUGAUGAUUAGCUUGCGUCCCAUUAGCUAGUUGGUGAGGUAAAGGCCCACCAAGGCGACGAUGGGUAUCCGGCCUGAGAGGGUGAACGGAAAAAAUGGGACUGAGAUACGGAACAAAGUACGACGGGAGGGAGCAGAGAAGAAGAUUCCGCAAUGGACGGAAGUAUGACGGAGCGACGCCGCGUGGAUGAAGAAGGCGGAAAAGUUGUAAAAUCCUUUUGUUGAUGAAGAAUAAGGGUGAGAGGGAAUGCGCAUAUGAUGACGGUAAUCGAAGAAUAAGCCCCGGCUAAUUACGUG